GACGAACGCUGGCGGCAGGCCUAACACAUGCAAGUCGAGCGGUAGCACAAAGAGCUUGCUCUCGGGUGACGAGCGGCGGACGGGUGAGUAAUGUCUGGAAAACUGCCUGAUGGAGGGGGAUAACUACUGGAAACGGUAGCUAAUACCGCAUAACGUCCCAAGACCAAAGUGGGGGACCUUCGGGCCUCAUGCCAUCAAAUGUGCCCAGAUGGGAUUAGCUAGUAGGUGGGGUAACGGCUCACCUAGGCAACAAUCCCUAGCUGGUCUGAGAGGAUGACCAGCCACACUGGAACUGAAACACGGUCCAAACUCCUACGGGAGGCAGCAGUGGGGAAUAUUGCACAAUGGGCGCAAGCCUGAUGCACCCUUGCCGCGUGUGUGAAGAAGGCCUUCGGGUUGUAAAGCACUUUCAGCGGGGAGGAAGGCGUUAAGGUUAAUAACCUUGGCGAUUGACGU
rnacentral:rRNA from 1 species